rnacentral:rRNA from 1 species
GACGAACGCUGGCGGCGUGCUUAACACAUGCAAGUCGAACGGAAAGGCCCUGCUUUUGUGGGGUGCUCGAGUGGCGAACGGGUGAGUAACACGUGAGUAACCUGCCCUUGACUUUGGGAUAACUUCAGGCAACUGGGGCUACUACCGGAUAGGAGCUCCUGCUGCAUGGUGGGGGUUGGAACGUUUCGGCGGUUGGGGAUGGACUCGGGGCUUAUCAGCUUGUUGGUGGGGUAGUGGCUUACCAAGGCUUUGACGGGUAGCCGGCCUGAGAGGGUGACCGGCCACAUGGGGACUGAGAUACGGCCCAGACUCCUACGGUAGGCAGCAGUGGGGAAUAUUGCACAAUGGGCGGAAGCCUGAUGCAGCAACGCCGCGUGCGGGAUGACGGCCUUCGGGUUGUAAACCGCUUUCGCCUGUGACGAAGCGUGAGUGACGGUAAUGGGUAAAGAAGCACCGGCUAACUACGUG